rnacentral:tRNA from 1 species
GCCCGGGUGGAGAAAUUGGUAACCUCGACUGACUUAAGAUCAGUUGGCCGCAAGGCCUUGCCGGUUCGAGUCCGGCUCCGGGCA